UCAUCAAGGCCAAUGGGAGAAGAGAGAGAGUACAGCCCAUCUCUCUCUCUCUCUCUCUCUCUCUCUCUCUCUCUCUAGUUAUGUAGUUAUGGGUUGGAGUAAGUGGGCUGUACCCUCUCUCUUCUUCUCUUGGCCUUUUGAUGG
rnacentral:pre_miRNA from 1 species